rnacentral:rRNA from 1 species
GGGUUGUGAGGUUAAGCGACUAAGCGUACACGGUGGAUGCCCUGGCAGUCAGAGGCGAUGAAGGACGUGCUAAUCUGCGAUAAGCGUCGGUAAGGUGAUAUGAACCGUUAUAACCGGCGAUUUCCGAAUGGGGAAACCCAGUGUGUUUCGACACACUAUCAUUAACUGAAUCCAUAGGUUAAUGAGGCGAACCGGGGGAACUGAAACAUCUAAGUACCCCGAGGAAAAGAAAUCAACCGAGAUUCCCCCAGUAGCGGCGAGCGAACGGGGAGCAGCCCAGAGCCUGAAUCAGUGUGUGUGUUAGUGGAAGCGUCUGGAAAGGCGCGCGAUACAGGGUGACAGCCCCGUACACAAAAAUGCACAUGCUGUGAGCUCGAUGAGUAGGGCGGGACACGUGGUAUCCUGUCUGAAUAUGGGGGGACCAUCCUCCAAGGCUAAAUACUCCUGACUGACCGAUAGUGAACCAGUACCGUGAGGGAAAGGCGAAAAGAACCCCGGCGAGGGGAGUGAAAAAGAACCUGAAACCGUGUACGUACAAGCAGUGGGAGCACGCUUAGGCGUGUGACUGCGUACCUUUUGUAUAAUGGGUCAGCGACUUAUAUUCUGUAGCAAGGUUAACCGAAUAGGGGAGCCGAAGGGAAACCGAGUCUUAACUGGGCGUUAAGUUGCAGGGUAUAGACCCGAAACCCGGUGAUCUAGCCAUGGGCAGGUUGAAGGUUGGGUAACACUAACUGGAGGACCGAACCGACUAAUGUUGAAAAAUUAGCGGAUGACUUGUGGCUGGGGGUGAAAGGCCAAUCAAACCGGGAGAUAGCUGGUUCUCCCCGAAAGCUAUUUAGGUAGCGCCUCGUGAAUUCAUCUCCGGGGGUAGAGCACUGUUUCGGCAAGGGGGUCAUCCCGACUUACCAACCCGAUGCAAACUGCGAAUACCGGAGAAUGUUAUCACGGGAGACACACGGCGGGUGCUAACGUCCGUCGUGAAGAGGGAAACAACCCAGACCGCCAGCUAAGGUCCCAAAGUCAUGGUUAAGUGGGAAACGAUGUGGGAAGGCCCAGACAGCCAGGAUGUUGGCUUAGAAGCAGCCAUCAUUUAAAGAAAGCGUAAUAGCUCACUGGUCGAGUCGGCCUGCGCGGAAGAUGUAACGGGGCUAAACCAUGCACCGAAGCUGCGGCAGCGACGCUUAUGCGUUGUUGGGUAGGGGAGCGUUCUGUAAGCCUGUGAAGGUGUGCUGUGAGGCAUGCUGGAGGUAUCAGAAGUGCGAAUGCUGACAUAAGUAACGAUAAAGCGGGUGAAAAGCCCGCUCGCCGGAAGACCAAGGGUUCCUGUCCAACGUUAAUCGGGGCAGGGUGAGUCGACCCCUAAGGCGAGGCCGAAAGGCGUAGUCGAUGGGAAACAGGUUAAUAUUCCUGUACUUGGUGUUACUGCGAAGGGGGGACGGAGAAGGCUAUGUUGGCCGGGCGACGGUUGUCCCGGUUUAAGCGUGUAGGCUGGUUUUCCAGGCAAAUCCGGAAAAUCAAGGCUGAGGCGUGAUGACGAGGCACUACGGUGCUGAAGCAACAAAUGCCCUGCUUCCAGGAAAAGCCUCUAAGCAUCAGGUAACAUCAAAUCGUACCCCAAACCGACACAGGUGGUCAGGUAGAGAAUACCAAGGCGCUUGAGAGAACUCGGGUGAAGGAACUAGGCAAAAUGGUGCCGUAACUUCGGGAGAAGGCACGCUGAUAUGUAGGUGAAGCGACUUGCUCGUGGAGCUGAAAUCAGUCGAAGAUACCAGCUGGCUGCAACUGUUUAUUAAAAACACAGCACUGUGCAAACACGAAAGUGGACGUAUACGGUGUGACGCCUGCCCGGUGCCGGAAGGUUAAUUGAUGGGGUUAGCGGUAACGCGAAGCUCUUGAUCGAAGCCCCGGUAAACGGCGGCCGUAACUAUAACGGUCCUAAGGUAGCGAAAUUCCUUGUCGGGUAAGUUCCGACCUGCACGAAUGGCGUAAUGAUGGCCAGGCUGUCUCCACCCGAGACUCAGUGAAAUUGAACUCGCUGUGAAGAUGCAGUGUACCCGCGGCAAGACGGAAAGACCCCGUGAACCUUUACUAUAGCUUGACACUGAACAUUGAGCCUUGAUGUGUAGGAUAGGUGGGAGGCUUUGAAGUGUGGACGCCAGUCUGCAUGGAGCCGACCUUGAAAUACCACCCUUUAAUGUUUGAUGUUCUAACGUUGACCCGUAAUCCGGGUUGCGGACAGUGUCUGGUGGGUAGUUUGACUGGGGCGGUCUCCUCCUAAAGAGUAACGGAGGAGCACGAAGGUUGGCUAAUCCUGGUCGGACAUCAGGAGGUUAGUGCAAUGGCAUAAGCCAGCUUGACUGCGAGCGUGACGGCGCGAGCAGGUGCGAAAGCAGGUCAUAGUGAUCCGGUGGUUCUGAAUGGAAGGGCCAUCGCUCAACGGAUAAAAGGUACUCCGGGGAUAACAGGCUGAUACCGCCCAAGAGUUCAUAUCGACGGCGGUGUUUGGCACCUCGAUGUCGGCUCAUCACAUCCUGGGGCUGAAGUAGGUCCCAAGGGUAUGGCUGUUCGCCAUUUAAAGUGGUACGCGAGCUGGGUUUAGAACGUCGUGAGACAGUUCGGUCCCUAUCUGCCGUGGGCGCUGGAGAACUGAGGGGGGCUGCUCCUAGUACGAGAGGACCGGAGUGGACGCAUCACUGGUGUUCGGGUUGUCAUGCCAAUGGCACUGCCCGGUAGCUAAAUGCGGAAGAGAUAAGUGCUGAAAGCAUCUAAGCACGAAACUUGCCCCGAGAUGAGUUCUCCCUGACUCCUUGAGAGUCCUGAAGGAACGUUGAAGACGACGACGUUGAUAGGCCGGGUGUGUAAGCGCAGCGAUGCGUUGAGCUAACCGGUACUAAUGAACCGUGAGGCUUAACCUUACAACGCCGAAG